GCCAGGCAUGGUGGCGCAUGCCUGUAAUCCCAGCUACUCGGGAGGCUGAGGCAGGAGAAUUGCUUGAACCUGGGAGAUGGAGAUUGCAGUGAACUGAGAUCAUGCCACUGCACUCCAGCCUGGGUGACAGAGUUAGACUCUGUCUCAA
ensembl:misc_RNA Metazoa_SRP Metazoan signal recognition particle RNA